rnacentral:lncRNA from 1 species
UCGUUACAACUAUUUUUUCUUUCUCGUCGUGCAUUACAAUAUUCUUGUUCAUAUUACAUACGCGUGUUCACUUUUUUUUUUUUUUUUUUUUUUGGUUCUACUUUUUUUUUAAUUUUAGUGUUAAGUUUUUCUUAUUAGCAGGGGUUUUUUUCGAAGGAAAAAUCAUUACUAAGGAAAGAUUACAAUAGGGCAGUUACAUAAAGUAAGCUCAAAAUACUCGGGUUGGAGAGAUCUAGGCAUAACGCAUCCUUUUUUUUUUUUGGGUCACUUAUUAGGUAAAGGGAGAAGGAAGUAUUAUAUUGAGUUGUCUAAAAAUUGUCUCUUACAUGAAUCAAACUCGAGUAAGAAUGUCCAAAGAAAUACAUGGUCGAGUUCCUCCAUUCAAGCAAGAUGAGCCUAAUAAAUGCACCUUAAAAAAGGAAAAAAAAGCCCAAACAAAGCCAUCAGAAGGCCACAUUAGACAUAAAGCCCAUUCUAGAUAUAAGGUCAACUAAAGCCCACAACAAAAACUUGGUUGUUAGCAAACCCAAGGACAAAGUUAAUAGAGUUGUCCUGCCAUGAAGACUUGGACAACACGCGAAGGUUGAAGGGAGAGCCUGCCACCACACAAAAACACAGGAACAAAAACAACACCCACAAAUUUGCUAGAACCGAACUCGUCGAUGCACCAAAAUGAACACAACAACCAAGGAAAAACACCACCCCAAACCAAUGGAGAAGUAAAUAGAAACAAGGAGGUGGUGCAUGCACCCAACCUAAAAGUCUACACAUCUUUUUAGAGGUACGCAAGAAAUCAUGUUAAGGGUUGGUAGCUACAUCCAGAGGGUAAGCCCAAAUCAAAUAGGGAGAGAGAGAUUCUGACUGAAGGAUGGAGAACAUGGAGUUUCAAUAGAGAGAGGAGUGAAAUAGGGACUUGUUAAUGGAAAGACUGACGGUAGGUAUGGAAGUGGUAAGAAAAUCAACUUUAUGAAUGCGGCUUAGAUAAAAAAAUUUAAUGUAUCGAACUCUAAAAAUCGAUAAACUUUACCAUAGUAAAGUGAAAAUUACCCUAAGUUUUUUUCAAGGACACCUUGUAGGACUCAUUCCCUAUACUAAUUUCAAUGAUCCGAACCAUUUAUCUUGCAAGACUCCAUUCAUAUAUCAUCCUUGAAAAAGAUUAAACAAAAUGAAAAUUUAGAACAUUUAGGUAAUGAUGAAAUAAAUAGAUAGUGUUUUUAAAAAAAAAAAAAACACACCGAUAAAUCACUUCCAUUUAUUCCAACAAUUAAAUUUUUUUCCAAUUUGGAGUUUUUUUGUUUUUGUUUUUGUGUGUGUAAAGAAGACCUAAAAAAUUGGCGGUUUGAAUCACUAAAAGUACAAUAUCUUUGGACCCUUACAUGAUGUCCCACAAAUAAAAGUAUAUGAGGGACUCCUCAAUUGAAGUACCCUCUCUACAUAAUAUCACAUAUAUGUUUUGAAACCUAAUUUAACCCCAACAAAAACUACACUAUAGAGGAAAAGGACAACAAAAUAAAAAGGGUUAAUUACAAUUUUGGUCACUUGGGUUUGGCUUGAAAUCAAUUUUAGUCACUGUGAUUUCAAUUUUUCCAAUUUUGUCCCUAUACUUGCAGUCGUUAACAAAUCAGGUCUGUUAAUAGGUCAAAUAGCCGAGCCUAUCAAAAGAUGCCACUUGGGCAAGGUUGGGGUGCUAGUGUAUCGACCCGACUAGAUUGACCACCUAAGUUACUGUUAAUAGGUCUUAGAGCCAAGCUUAUUAGAGGACGCCACGUGGCCAAGGUGGGCUGCUUAUACACCGACCUUACCAGGCUGAUCGCCUUAGGUCCACUAUGACGUCAUGAGAACAGAAAGGCAGAAGCACUAGUAUACCGACCCAACCAGAUCCCUAUUAGACCAAGUCACUUCACACACCUAAUACCAGCACAGUGGCUGAGAAAGGGCAUUUAAUGCUUUCACAUCCAUGUCAGGUGUCGUCUUGUUACUUGGUCCUUCAGACUUUUGCUCCAAUCUGAAAAUUAAACUCUGUUUCUCUUCCGCAGCUCACCCUCAAGCAAACGGCCAAGUGGAAGUUGUUAACAAACUCCUCAAGCGUACACUCAAGAAAAAGUUGGAGGCCAAGAAAGGGGCUUGGUCGAAACUACUACCAGAGGUCUUGUGGGUCUACCGCUGCACCGAGCGCACUUCAACAGAGGAAACCCCAUAUUCUUUGGCCUUUAGGGUCGAAGCAGUCAUUCUCAUUGAGGUCGGUGUCCCCACACAUCGGGUCAACCGCUAUACACCCAAGGUGAAUGUGGAGCAGUUCUCUCUUAGCAUGGUCCUAUUGGAAGAGCAUAGACUCUGCGCUACUCACCAUCUCGCCACGUAUUAGCCAUGAAACAAUUCGGUAUUACAACCAGCAUAUCCACGAGCGUAACUUCUAACCAGGGGACUUAACUCUCCACAAAGUACUACUUAGAACCAAGGAUAGAACUGUUGGUACCGUAGAGGCCAACUGGGAGGGACCAUACCAAGUCCUCGAUGUCGCCUAACCCGGAAUGUAUCAGCUCACGUAAUUAAAUGGCAAACAAUUGCCAUAUCCAUGGAAAGCUGAGCACCUAAGGAAGUACUAUCCUUAGGCACAAUAGGAGACUCCACCCGAUCAUAUUACUAUUUUGUUUACCAUCUACUAUGUUUUCUUUUUGAGCACUACACAUGGUUGCGAACUACCUGACUCAGUGUUGUGCUCGGUUCGAAAUCCUUGUACCCUACUUAUUAUGUGAUUAAUGGAAUCUUAUGUUUUGUCAUUCAUUUCUUGCAAAACCUUUGGUUUGCUCUGCUUUCGCAAUCCUCACAUACCAAACAUAAACUCAAUACUUGUGAAAAUAAUACAAAUAAAAUAUCCAUCCUUAACUAAAAGAAAUCAAAAUAUAUAAACUAUCAACAUCCAAUAUUAUAUUAUUCAAAACAUAAUUACCCCAAACAUUACUCCAAACUAAAAAAAAGCCACAGUCAACACGUCACAAAAUUACACCGAGCCCGACCAAGGGCUGGCACAUUGUUCCUAAUUUGUUACAAUAACUACAGGGCAAAUGGGGUACAACACAAAUUCAAACAUCUCUAGCUUGUACCCUAUCAGGUACUACGACCACCCCAACCUCUUCCUAAACUACCUCAGCCACUGGCUCAAUCGGGUCGGCACCUUGAACAACUGGGUAGCCACCCUGAACAACAGGGUCGAUCUCGGGAGCCAUCACCUCCAUAUGCGACCUUUCACCUUGUUCUGCUAGGUUCUUCUCAGCAUCAUUAUCUAGGAAGCUCCAAUGUAAGGAGAUGUAUUUUUUGCCAACUUUCUCAAUCAGGUCAAAAUACCCCUCAACCCACUGACCAGCGAGCCUAUCCUGAUACUACGACUAUCCUUCCGAUACCUUUUGAGACAGAUACUAAUGCUUCUAACAUAGAUAAUGUCUGUGAGAUUACAAGGCAUUCCCCCGAGAAUGUAGAUACAUCGUGGGAGUAUAACUUCAAUUCCUUUUUUGACAGUGACGUGAGAAUACUUAGAUCCACUGAUGAGCUCCUUCCAUUGCAUCACGUAUUCCCAGGCUAUGAAAUAUUUCGAGGUGCGCAAGUAUUUCCGAAAACAGUGAAGGCUUUGGGUAAGUUUUGGACAAUAGCUAUUGUGUUGGCAGAUGGUGGAGAUUCAAUUUUGGAGUUGAAACAUGAUUCUUGGUAAUUGUUCUCCUGUAGAUGGCUUGUUGGGUUAGUAUUACUUGGUUUGUCAAGAAAAGGAUAACUGCUUGCCACUAAAUCUUCCUACACUUGACGUAAGCAAAAAGGAAAUUUUGUAUUGUCUGGUAAAGGGUUGAUUUAUGAAUUUACUUGUUUGCUUGGCAUGGCAUGGCAUGAUUUUUGUCUAAUAUAUUCUCUUGUUCCUUUGUCAGGCUUGAUUGAGAGACUCCGUGAGAAAUGCCAUCUCUUUACUGAUUUGCUAGGAACUUAAUAGCAUGAAGAUGAGUUUUUUUUUUUUUGGUUGCUUUCACCUUGACUUGCAAUGUGAAGGCUUAUUGAGGAUUUGAAUUGCUUGACAGGGAGACUUUUGGGUGAGACAGAGAAUGAGCUAGUUGUCGAGAUUGCUCUGAGUUUUUUUAUUAUUUUAAAUUUAUUAAAAUUUAUUUAUUUAUUUAUUUUAGAGAUGCAAUGAGUUUGUUGAAUUGUUACAAGGAUGGACUGAGUCUUAAAGGUUAAGGAGCACAUAUGCAGGAUGUUUGAAAAGGUUUGAAAUAAGGCAAGUGCUUGAAAAAUGUUUAAGAUACUAAAAGUGGCAGAAAUGGUGUUGGGUGAAUGUAUAUAGCUUGGACUUGUUGGAAGAUGUGAAUAAUGUUGAAUCACACAUCUCUUGAAAUCGAGGUAAAGCUUGGUUUAGCAUUAGAAACUUUGAAAUGCUUGUGCUUGACCCCCUUUUUUUUCACUUGGCAGGAAGCCCCUAAGUCAUUUGGAUUUGCAUUUUUGCUUCUUUUUGUUUGUUAGAUUUGCUUGGCAUGACUUUCUUCCUUUCUCUGAUUUUGCUUGGUAGGAAGCCCCCAAGUCAUUUGAAUGUGCGGUUGGUUGCACAGCUUGUCAGUGGUAUGAAUAUUGAAUUUGCCUAAGCCCCUAUGGGCCUUUCACAAGGUGUUUUGUCUGAGAAGGCUUUAAAUUUUGUUGUAGUGCAAUUGCAUGAAUACUAAUUCUAAAGCUUAUGAUUUUUCAAGAGCCACUGCAAGACUAAUGGCCCAGUCCCCAGCAGAGUCGCCAUUUAUGUGGCGGCCUUUUUGUUACAGCAGCUCUAAGUGGACUUGGGCCCCCAUAAAGAGAGAGUGACGUUGCCCCUUCACCUAGGUUCAAGGACUAGGCCCCAAAAUAUCCCGAAAGAAUGAUGAUUCUUAGGGAAUAUUCUGGUCAUCUUCAAUGGCUAGGUCCUUGCAGGUUUUGAUGUAUAACAGGUACUGGACUGAUUUUGCUUGAUUUUGCUAUAUUGGAAGUGCCUUUCUUGAAGUGAAAUAUGUGUUACAGGUAGUGAAUAGUGUUGGAGAAGAUGUUGAAAAAGAAGAAGUUCCUGGCUGCUGUGAGGCAUACGAUAGCUGAUGUUUUGAUGUUAUACACGUAUCAUAUAAGCUUGGCAUGAGAGGCUUGUGGUGUUGGAGCUAAGUCUCCAUGAGUUUAGCGAGAGAGCGUUUGCUUGAGUUGAAAUGGGAUGCUGGAUAAAGGAUAUUUUAGGGUUGGGAAUGGUUUCUGGUUGCUGGGAGAAGAAUAUGAUGGUUUUUGGGUUAAGCUUGAGUGUUUUCCAGAGGUGACACUAUGGCUUGCUCUAUUGUGAUUGGUUUUGGGAUGGCUUGAGAUGGUUUCUGGAUAAUGUUCAUAGCUUGGAGUGGUUUAUGAAAGAAGAGAAGCAUGAUGGAGGAAGGCUUGGGUUUUGUGUGUUUACGGCAAUGGUUUUUUUGGAGGAUGAGCUUGCUUCAUGUUCUUUUUCUUCCAGCGGCUUUUCCGGCGACUCUUUGGAUUUCUACGGCAUGGCUUGGGUAUGGCUUGUUAAUCUGUGUUUAAGGAUUUGGAUACUUGAAUGCUGUUGAAGCAUGGUAAGGCUUGUUUCUGGGUUUGGAAUGGCCAAGGUUAUGUGAUUUCCAGCAGAGGGUAAGCUUGCCUCUGCCUUCCUGGUAGAAAAUGAGGAGAUGAAUGGGUUAGGCUUAGGUGUCGUAUGGCUUGCUGGUUGUCCUCCCCUCAUUGGAUUAUCAUUGCUUCUUUUUAUAGCCGUUGGAGCUCCAACAUUUCUGAAGCAAGCAAUGAAUGAGCGGGUCCCUAGGCAGAAGUUGAUGACACAGUAAAAUGAUUUAUAAUGUUUGACUGUGUUUUUAGUGCUAGUAAGUUGGGGUUGAGUAGUAGGCACCGUAACCUAUUUUUAGAGCUGCUGGAAGAAAAUAGGAGUAACUUUGGCUUUGAUGCAGGUAGAAGAAGCUGGUGGUUGGUGAUUUAAUGCUGGAAGAUUGGCACGUUCUCUCUGCUUACCCAUUCAACGGGCUCAAGAAAAUAGGCUUGGGUUUUAGGGCUCCCAAGCAGCCCAAAACCUCCAUUCUUUUGAACCUUUAAUGGGCCUCAUGGAUCCUUAUAACUAUCCACACCACAACCCGCUCAGCAAGCCCCAUGCAUAUAUGUGGCUUGGCCCCACUUAAACUUGUCGGGUGGUUUAGCAUAUGAUAAUGUAUUAUUUGUUUGGCAUGGCAUGUACAUUAUUUAUAUAUUUAUUUAGUGGAUAAAUUCUUAAAAUACAGCUUGGAUUAACGUAUGACCAACAUUAUAUGUUAUAUUGGGCUUUAAACAUCUUUGGGCUUCUUGUGACAUUUUGGGCCUCAACAUUCUUCUAUAAAUACUCUUCAUCUACAUUGUGACAAAGGUAAUAACUAUUCUCACCCAGAAACUUUGUAUCCUUCUCCUUACUCCAAACCAGCCACUAACUUAGCCAUCAGAGGGGGUUCGACUGGUAUCACGCCAGCUCCCCCUCGUUUGACGAUCUAGCUGCUUGAAGUGUGCAGGUUGUCCAGGAAAAUUGAGUCAACCCAACAGCCCAAGGUACAUUCCGGCCCUGGCUCGAUUCGAGACCCUCGUCCAACAGAACCAAUCUCCCCUAUCAACAAGGUCACAUAUCUCAAUUUUGUCAGUUUAAUUGCACAUGCUAAAUAUGUGCAAGGGCAAAAUUGUAUUUUCACUCUUUAAACAAUUAAUAAUAAAAAAAGUAAAAAAAAAACAACCACCCAGUUAUUUCUCCCACCCCAAUCCACCAUCCUUAUCUCCAAAUCCUUUCUCAUUUCUCCUUUAUUUGCAACCAACCACCCCACCAGCCAUACCGACCCAAAUAUGAAGUUCGACUUGAGAGAGGAGAUCAGAGGAGUGUUGGGGCAGAAGGGAGAGGAGGGCGGAGAGAGCCAUAAUCAAUCCCAUCGUUGCUUCCAUUUUUGUUCCUUGGUUUUCUUUGUUUUCGUUUCUCAAGUGAGGGCUGGAUGGCUCUAAAACUCUCUCUGAUAAUUUUUAUUUAUUUUGUAUUUUUGACAAAAAGUAUAGCUUAUUGUUUUUAUACUUUAGAGGCCAUGAACGCAGCAACCAAGUUGGCUCGAUAUGCUCGUCUUCACUUUCUUUCUCCGUCUACCCCACUUGCCAAAUAAGUUUUGCUCUCAUGCAGUCUCAUUGUAAAAACCAAAGUCCUUUUUUGGCCCGAAAAAGUUUAUGCUACUUUCCAAGUUUUGCAAAGAUUAACAGACCCACGAACUCAAAGCUCCAAUCUUGAAAACCAAGAUCCAGUUUAGAAAAGAAGAAAGGAAGAAAUGCUCUCGAAAAUCUCAGUUACCCACGUGAAAGCAUCACCAUCUGCAUCCACUUCUGGAUUUAUUAAUUUUUUUAAAGGGUUGAAAUAUAAUUUUGCUUCUGCACGCAUUUAGCACGAAUUGAGAGAUGUGACUUGAUUUGUUAACGAAUGCAAGUAUCAAUGACGAAAUUGAGAAAAUUGAAAUCACAGUGACUAAAAUUGCUUUCGAGCCAAACUCUGGCAAGAGAAAAGUGAACUCAUAUAACAGAAUUACCAUUAGCAGUAAAAGGGCAAACGUGCGUAAUGAAAGUGAAACUCUGUUUCUCAAACAUCCUACAGAUACAGUUUGCACCGCAAUCUUGGUAAAUUGAACAGCAUAAGGUACAAGACUACUACAGCAGUCAAAUUGGCUAAUGAAAAUCCAUCAAUCUU